GCCUCAUAAAUAAGUGAAGAGGCGACAUAAAACACCGUGUCUCCAGUACAGGGCUUCCUCAGGAGAACGGACCUCGACCCACUUCUGCUCAACAUCCUGACUUUCUGCGGCAGUUUCCGAAGGGAGGGAACUCUUAAGAGUCACCUCAGGCAUGCCUCCGCUUCUGUGCUGGCCUCGAUGCACCCUCAUCCAAGAGGUCAAGAGCUGAGAAAUGCGCUUUUUCCUACCACGCCACCCAGGCUGAGGGUAACCAGAGGAAGCUGAGAAGUCUGCUCUGCUUCGAGGACGAGAGGAAUAGAGGAUCAGAGAACCAGGCAAGGCCAGCAGCUUGCCGAAGGGAGGAACCCUCUAACUUCUAAGAUAAACAUGGAGUGGAGACCAAAGAUGGGUGGGGUGCUAAGGACCCACAAAAUCCCUGGGUCCUGUUAGGAGCUAUUCAAGUGUGUCGUGGUGGUAGCUAGCACUUAUUAAAUGUCUUGCGCUAACCACUAUGCCCAAAACUAGGUUAUACCAGGAAGUCAGUGUGUACAGAGGCUGGGAACAUCAGUCUACACAACACACAACCGGGCUCAAGUCUUUGACUUUGUUCCUCACUAGCUCUGUGACCUUGAAUAAGUUACUUAAGGACCCUAUGUCUCAGGUGCUUCAUCAAUAAAAUGGGAAUGCUAAUAGCAGCACCCAUAGAAACCCAGAAGAUCAAGAGCAUUGCCGUCCAUAAAGCUCUUAGAACAUUGCCUGUAGUAAGCUUUGGCUAUUCUGAUUCCGUUGAAUCUUCACACAAAGCUCUGAAGUAGAUCUCAUUAACUGUGGAGGCUCCGGGAAGCUGAAUGACUCUCCUGAGAUCCCCAGGUCUGUUUGAUUGACAGAGCCUGAGUGUCCUUCUAAGUGCCCCUAGCUGUCCCCAUCUUUGGGAGGAUGUAGAUUCGCAAAAGCUAGCUCUUGUGUCCCAUAGCCAUUCUGGCUUGGAAACCACUGCCUCUGCACCAGAACUGGAACAAAAGUGAUCUCCACCCUGCCUCGGAGGCCUGCCGGAUUGCCCCCUGGGCCCAGCCCGCAGGUCCCUCCCACAGACUAUGGCAACAGCCAGAACUGGGAGCCUCCUAGGUGCUACACCUGCAUCAGCCGCCCCAGGCCUCCCUUGGGGCCUCUCCCUUCAAACCACAGCGUCCCCACCCCACCCCCACCCCAGGUGGGAUGCUGGCGGCUCAGCCUGGAGGGACCCUUCUAAUUUCCAGGAUAAACAGACUGUCAUCCUGGCCCAGCCCUCUGCGGGCUGGCUGCUCCCCGCCCCCUCAAUCCGCAGUGCACAGCCCGCUCUGUUCUCCUGCCAACUUGGCAGCUCACUGCUGCUGCUGUUACUAUCAACACCUCUGAGGGAAAAGGGAGAGAAGUCGGCUCUGAUCGCCUAGUGCACUGAGCAACAAAUUCACGUUGAGCCAGAGCACUCUGGAAUGUCUCCCAAGCUCCGAAGGCUCCGGGUGGGGCAAGGGCUCCCGGGACCCAGUCGUCAAGAACCAAGAACUUCAAGGACCCAAGGCACAGUGCGCUGAUAGAUCAGUCACCCAUGUCCUACAGGACCAAGAGGUGAUCUCUGUGCAGCCUUUCCCAGGAGGAAGGCCUUUCCAGCUUUCUCUCUGCUAGCUAAGGGAACUUCAGGCACCUCAAUGGGCUACAGACUACAGGGAUGAAGACGUGAAAACGAUGUCUUUAUACUGACUGGGUUGUGCUCUCCUCUGCCCUCUCCAGAUGUGCCCUCGCCCAGAUGUGAAACUGAUAGUAAGAUAAUUUCCAGCCCCAGGGAUCUGAAAGCCCUCACCUUCCUGCUAAGAACUACCCAGCUCCCCAGAAAACCUUCAUACUAUCCCGGGGCCUGGCCACAAGAAAGAACUCACUCUGCAGGCUGGAAUGGAAAUAAACCCUGAGAGGCUGUGCCAUUCCAGGCUGCACCUGUGAGCAGCCCCUCAGAUGAUGCCCUGUCAGCGUUUCCAUGACAAACUCGUAUUUCCGGAUGCUUCUCUUCCAGCUUGAAGAGCGUGCCUCUCGGCGAGGCUUGAUACUGAAAAUGCAUUCAUAAUUUUUUUCCCAAAAAAAGAUUGCACGCUCCAUAAAAAUUUACACUCUCCGUA